GCCAGCGUAGCUCAGCCGGUAGAGCAACUGAUUCGUAAUCAGUAGGUCCCCGGUUCAAGUCCGGGCGCUGGCUCCA
rnacentral:tRNA from 1 species